UACAGAGGUCUCAAGCGUUGUUCGGAUUCAUUGGGCGUAAAGGGUGCGUAGGUGGCAUGGUAAGUCGGAUGUGAAAUCCCGGGGCUCAACCCCGGAACUGCAUUCGAUACUGCUGCGCUAGAGUACUGGAGAGGAGAUUGGAAUUUACGGUGUAGCAGUGAAAUGCGUAGAUAUCGUAAGGAAGACCAGUGGCGAAGCGGAUCUCUGGACAGUUACUGACACUGAGGCACGAAGGCCAGGGAGCAAACGGG
rnacentral:rRNA from 1 species